GGCCAGAUAGCUCAGUCGGUAGAGCAGUGGAUUGAAAAUCCGCGUGUCGGUGGUUCGAUUCCACCUCUGGCCACCA
rnacentral:tRNA from 1 species